GUGUGUGUGUGUAUACAUUUCACACCCUCAAAAAUAGAAAUUAUCUUGGUGCAUUUACGCAAGUUUUAAUGCUAUUAGUUCCAUCUUAAAAUCCCAGCCCCGUCUGCGUCUCCGUCUCCGUCUCCGUGUCUCUCUCUCUCUCUGUAGCUGUCCCCUUCCCCAUCUCCUUUGGCGAUUGCCUGACAUUUGAAGUGAACCAAUUGUCUGUUUCUCUGGCUGGCUGUGUGUCCUUUGCCUUUGCCCUUGCCUUUUAUUUCCAUUCUAUUUUCUAUACUAUACUUCCAUUUCUAUAUUGUUGCAGCCUUAUACAUAUACAUAGAUAUACAUACAUAUACAUAUACAUAUAUAUAUGUAUUGUACGCGUCGCGUUGCACUCAACGUAGAUGCCCUGGACGCAAUUUUGUUGGUAAUAAAUCACCUAAAGUCGACAUUAAAUCUUUCUCUUUUCUUCGUUUUCUUUUAUUUUCUGUUUUCCUGCCACUCUCCUGCUCCGUUUGCUUUCAUUUCGUUGUUGCUCUUUCUUCGCACUGACUUUCACACAAGCCGGCGACAAUCCGGGCACAUUGCACAUGUCUUUCGAUUACCGAGUAGGUCUGAGGGUCGGAGGGGAAGGCUAUGCUUAGUUAUAUCCAUUCAGGACGAUCUAUAGAUAUUAUGUAAAUCUGUAAAAAUAAACACAUUUCCACAGCUUGGGGUGAAUCCAAAUUUGAGACUGAAACAGUCGCGGUCGGGGCCAGCCAGCCAGCCAGCCAAAAAUUAUCAAUUUCAAUAGGCCACAUUCAGUUGGACUAGCCAAGCAGAAAAUACUGAAUUUCCGCAGGCAGCCAUGGCAACAGCAAAUGGCAAACGGCAGCACAUUAACACUUUACAAACAAUGGCCAAAGUGGCAUCCAUCAAAUGCAGCAGCCAGCAGCUAGCAGCCAUGAGGCAGCCACCCCACAUGAUCCAUGGAGCCGCAUUGAGGCAAGCCGAGCCAAGGCGAGGCGGGCUGCAGCCACUGGCCUUGCUUCUGGCUGUCACAGAUCUCUACAACAACAGCCUGGCCUGGCUGGCACAGCACUGCAGCUCCUUGGCCCCGGACCCGGACCCAGCCCCCUCUCCUAUCCCUGCAUUUGAAUCAAAGUGCCAGCAACAAAAACAACAAACAAUUUCGCGCUUGAAAGGCUAAAUAAAAGAGGCAGCAAACAGAA